UACGAAGGUGGCAAGCGUUGUUCGGAUUUACUGGGCGUACAGGGAGCGUAGGCGGUUGGAUAAGCCCUCCGUGAAAUCUCCAGGCUUAACCUGGAAAGUGCAGAGGGGACUGUUCAGCUAGAGGAUGGGAGAGGAGCGCGGAAUUCCCGGUGUAGCGGUGGAAUGCGUAGAGAUCGGGAAGAACAUCGGUGGGGAAGGCGGCCUGCUGGGCUCUUGCUGACACUGAGGCGCGACAGCGUGGGGAGCAAACAGG
rnacentral:rRNA from 1 species